UGAAGCCCAGCUUGCUGGGUGGAUUAGUGGCGAACGGGUGAGUAACACGUGGGUGAUCUGCCCUGCACUUCGGGAUAAGCCUGGGAAACUGGGUCUAAUACCGGAUAGGACCUCGGGAUGCAUGUUCCGGGGUGGAAAGGUUUUCCGGUGCAGGAUGGGCCCGCGGCCUAUCAGCUUGUUGGUGGGGUAACGGCCCACCAAGGCGACGACGGGUAGCCGGCCUGAGAGGGCGACCGGCCACACUGGGACUGAGACACGGCCCAGACUCCUACGGGAGGCAGCAGUGGGGAAUAUUGCACAAUGGGCGCAAGCCUGAUGCAGCGACGCCGCGUGAGGGAUGACGGCCUUCGGGUUGUAAACCUCUUUCAGUACCGACGAAGCGCGAGUGACGGUAGGUACAGAAGAAGCACCGGCCAACUACGUGCCAGCACCGCCGGGUAAUA
rnacentral:rRNA from 1 species